UCCCCCAAAGCCGCACGCCCCUCCCUCCCUCCUCACUCGUCUCAGGCUCUCAGCCGCCGCCCCAUGAACCCUAGCCGCGCCCCUCCUGCAUCUCUCCUCUUACCCCCUCCCUGGCCUGCCCCGAGCUCCUCCUCCUCCGUCCUCACAUGCUCCACCACGAGCACGCCGGCGGCGAAGCGCACCGCGAGGACCCGGGGCAACUCAGCUUGUACAGAGCCACUCCGUACAGGAGGAACCCCGUGACCAGAGCAGCCAACAACGGUGACGCGUACGGCACGAGGAGGUGCGCAAGAUCGGCACCGACGAGGGGGUGCUCCAGGAGAAGGUGCACGGCUCCGCCUAGGACCAUGUGUGUGGUGGCGGGGACAUGCGACCACUGGCAUAUUUUGGGGAGCGGCACGAACAUCAAGCAAUGGCUGAGGUGAGAUUCCCCUCCCCUCCGCUCCUCUCUCUCUCUCUCUCUCUCUCUCUCUCUCAGUGUCUACUGACCAUCACAUAAUAAUCUCCUCCAGAUCUUGAUAUUUAUGCUUCUCCAUAUGUCAUUGAUGUUCUUCCGAUUUGUAGGCAUGUCAAGAUCAAGGAUAUUAAAUUUGUUUCUUCUACCGAUGAAAUAUUUCAGAUACUUUUUUAUCUUGUAUUGCAAUCCUCUGUCUUGAUGUUUAUUUUUUGGAAAUCUAGCUAGCGUUAUGCUCCCCUUGAAGUUUUCUAUCUGUAGAUGAAGUUCCGAGCUAAGACAUAUGGUGUUAAUUGUCUCAAAGAUGGAAUGAUUUGCUCCAUGGAAACUAUCUCAUUAGCUGCAUUCCAAUUACAGUUAUGAAUUGUAAAAUGUGGAGUGCAGACAAUAUUACAUGAUUUGGUGCUGAUUUUCCUCUUCCAGUUCAUGUUCAUGGCCUUGUUGUGGUUGCACCGUGGUCCGUGGGGAACAGGAUCGAAUACCUUUGCUACAACCAAGGGAAGACUAUUAAAACACGAAGAUUAUGAGGAAAGGAUUCAGAGCUUUUUGCCGAACCCAGAUUGCCACACACAUGAUGCAAAAUUAACAACCAGGACUUUGAAAUAUGGAUGACGAUGUUUAUUAUGUGCUAGAAAUCAAAUAUGAAAAGGAGAAGAUAAUGCUUGCGAAGGUCCCUCAUACAGUGGUUCAGAAAAAAAAACUAUCCAAUGGAGAUGAUGCAUGAGGAGCAGCAAUUUCAUGAUCCAUGAAGCCCUAUGUUCUUUUUCUCACUGUGUGUAGGCUCUUUCUAGAUUGCUCAGCAGGCAAUCAAUGCGGCACAUGUGGAGGCUGUGAGAGCUGUGAAAUGCAUCGGUCUUGUCAUACUUACGAGCAGGUGCACGGGCCACAUUACUCUUCAUGCCACUCUGAGAAGCCGAGAUGUUGACUGCUGCUUGAGAUUGAUUUCCAUGUUGAAGGGAAGGGAGUCAUGUUUGAGUUCCUGCUUGAGAUUGAUUUCCACGUUGAAGGGGAGGGAGUCCUGUUUGAGUUCCUGUAUCAAAGGAUAAAUAAGAAGGGGCAUGCUGUCGUGGUUGUUGCUGAAGGCAUUGGUCAGGAUUACCAGAAGCGAGAGUAGGAUGUGCAUGUCAACAUGCUGUUCCUUGACGUUGGCCUUCUAUAAAGUUCACAUGCAACUCCCCUCCAUGGUUAAAAAACCCAAUUUAAAUGUUUGGUUUCUUUGAUGGAUACUCAUUUCUCUUACCGUUGUUGUAUCAAAACAAUUGUAUUUUUGUUGUUGGCCGCUUGGGCUCAUUUUCAAGGAGAAUGAGAUGUGGGAUAAACUA